GACGAACGCUGGCGGCGUGCUUAACACAUGCAAGUCGAACGGAAAGGCCUGGUUUCCCUUGUGGAUUGGGGGGACUCGAGUGGGGAACGGGUGAGUAACACGUGAGUGAUCUGCCCGCAAAUUGGGUAUAAGCCUGGGAAACUGGGUCUAAUUACCGAUAGGACUGCAGGGUGGUGCGGGAGGUGGAAAACGAUGGGGUAGUGGUUGGGGAUGAGCUCGCGGCCUAUCAGCUUGUUGGUGGGGUAGUGGCCUACGAAGGCGGCGACGGGUAGCCGGCCUGGGAGCGUCGACCUCCACAUUUGGACUGCCACACGGCCCCUACUCCUACGGGCGGCAGCAGUCGGGAAUCUUGCACAAUGAGCGGAAGCCUGAUGCAGCGACGCCGCGUGGGCGAUGACGGCCUUCGGGUUGUAACCUCCUUUCGACCGCGCGGAAGCCCCUUGGUUGGAAGGGUGGUGACGGUAGUGGUAGAAGAAGCACCGGCUAACUACGUG
rnacentral:rRNA from 1 species